rnacentral:rRNA from 1 species
UUUAAAUGUAAAUUGCGAAAACUUGAGUAGUAAUAGUUAUGUUCUUGAAACUCAAAGAAUUUGGCGGUGUUUUAGUCUGUUCAGAGGAACCUGUCCCGUAAUCGAUAUUCCACGUUAAACCUUACUUAUUUUUGUUAUCAGCUUGUAUACCGCCGUCGUCAGAAUGUCCUAAGAAGGGUUUAAUUUUCUUAAAUUUUUAUUAAAAAUGAUGUCAGGUCAAGGUGUAGCUUACGAAUAAGUGGUGAUGGGUUACAAUAAAUGUAUUUAUAACGGAUAAAGUUUUGAAAUAAAUUUUUGAAGGUGGAUUUGACGGUAAAUAACUUAAUUAAAUUAAUUUGAUUUUAGCUCUAAAACAUGC